rnacentral:rRNA from 1 species
UAGAGUUUGAUCAUGGCUCAGAUUGAACGUUGGCGGCAGGCUUAAGACAUGCAAGUCGAGCGGUAACAGGAGAAGCUUGCUUCUCGCUGACGAGCGGCGGACGGGUGAGUAACGCGUAGGAAUCUACCCAGUAGCGGGGGAUAGCCCGAGGAAAUACCGCAUACGCCCCACGGGGGAAAGGCCGGGAUCUAUUUAUAGACCGGUCACUAUUGGAGGAGCCUGCGUUGGAUUAGCUAGUUGGUGAGGUAAAGGCUCACCAAGGCGACGAUCCAUAGCUGUUCUGAGAGGAAGAUCAGCCACACUGGAACUGAGACACGGUCCAGACUCCUACGGGAGGCAGCAGUCGGGAAUAUUGUGCAAUGGGCGAAAGCCUGACACAGCCAUGCCGCGUGUGUGAAGAAGGCUCUAGGGUUGUAAAGCACUUUAAGCAGGGAGGAAGGCCAGUUAGUUAAUAUCUGACUGGAUUGACGUUACCUGCAGAAUAAGCACCGGCUAACUCCGUGCCAGCAGCCGCGGUAAUACGGAGGGUGCAAGCGUUAAUCGGAAUUACUGGGCGUAAAGCGCGCGUAGGUGUUUGCUAAGCCAGAUGUGAAAGCCCCGGGCUCAACCUGGGAACUGCAUUUGGAACUGGCAGGCUAGAGUACGGUAGAGGGUGGUAGAAUUUCCUGUGUAGCGGUGAAAUGCGUAGAUAUAGGAAGGAAUACCAGUGGCGAAGGCGGCCACCUGGACUGAUACUGACGCUGAGGUGCGAAAGCGUGGGGAGCGAACAGGAUUAGAUACCCUGGUAGUCCACGCCGUAAACGAUGUCAACUAGCCGUAGGGAUCCUUGAGGUCUUUGUGGCGCAGCUAACGCAAUAAGUUGACCGCCUGGGGAGUACGGCCGCAAGGUUAAAACUCAAAUGAAUUGACGGGGGCCCGCACAAGCGGUGGAGCAUGUGGUUUAAUUCGAUACAACGCGAAGAACCUCACCUGGUCUUGGUCUUGACAUCCCGAGAAUUUUCUAGAAAUAGAUUAGUGCCUUCGGGAACUCGGUGACAGGUGCUGCAUGGCUGUCGUCAGCUCGUGUCGUGAGAUGUUGGGUUAAGUCCCGUAACGAGCGCAACCCUUGUCCUUAGUUGCUAGCAGGUUAUGCUGAGAACUCUAAGGAGACUGCCGGUGACAAACCGGAGGAAGGUGGGGACGACGUCAAGUCAUCAUGGCCCUUACGACCUGGGCUACACACGUGCUACAGUGGCCUGGCCGGUACAGAGGGCUGCUAACCCGCGAGGGGGCGCUAAUCCCAGAAAACCGGUCGUAGUCCGGAUCGCGGUCUGCAACUCGACUGCGUGAAGUCGGAAUCGCUAGUUAUCGCGAAUCAGAAUGUCGCGGUGAAUACGUUCCCGGGCCUUGUACACACCGCCCGUCACACCAUGGGAGUGGGUUGCACCAGAAGUAGCUAGACUAACCUUCGGGAGGUCGGUUACCACGGUGUGAUUCAUGACUGGGGUGAAGUCGUAACAAGGUAGCCGUAGGGGAACCUGCGGAUGGAUCACCUCCUUU